UUGACUCAAUCCUAUCGGAGAUGGACAUUUGUUUCGGAGGCUCAGCCACUUAAAUAACACUACUAUGUUGCACUGGACGAUGCGUUGAACUUUUACAGCUUCACUUUUUGUUAAGAAGAGGCUAUUACAAGUAGUUGUUUCUACAUUCCAACUACUUGAUACAAUGGUAGAUGCGGGGAGAUAAGGGUCGCCUGGCCAGCGCUUCAUAAAGUUAUAUAUCGUCGGCAGAGAAUUCUAACCGUCUAACUCCAAAUUUUCUCGAAUUGCUUUUUUCCUUAAAAUAGAUUAACAUAACGAAUGUCUACAUCCUAUUAAAAUCUAGAACAAUUUUGACAAACAAAAGUCUUGUUUUAAAGAGAAAUUCUAACCGUAUAUUCCGACUGGCUUCGGUGACUGAAGAAUUCUAACCGUCUAACUCGUUUAGGUAGCUCGCCAUUGUGGAUCACGGCGAUAAAGUUUUGCUCUGAUGGAGGCGUUUGAUUUUAAAUAAAUGUAAAAUCAGAAAAGGUUGCUUUUGUUAAAGGGUUGGUUGACUGUGUCGAGCCUGUGGAGAAAAAGGAGAGAGAAAGCAGAAGAUCGUGGUCCAUGAAGUACCAUCUGCGAGUGAAUGGGGCCAAAGUCAAAGAGUGCACGGUUUUCUUCUUAAGUCCUGUACUUUGUUACUAGUGUGUUCACAUUGUUCUCACAUGUGGGUUGGGUGUAGCAGAGGGUGAGGUUCCAGUUCAGAGAAAAAGGGUUAGGGAGGAGACUACAGCAUCAAAGGUACUUAAACAGUUUCUUCGUGAUCUGCCCAAGUUGCCGUCUCACUAUUGCUGAAGGACUCCAGUAAGUUAUACUUGGAACCUGUUUUCCAGAGCUUACAGGCAGUGUACCGCCGUUUGUAUAAAGAAAAGUAUGAGUGGGGGAGGGGGGGUACUUUCUACCUUCAAGUUUAAAGAGAAGAUCAAUGCUAUGAACCUGUCAUGGUUCCAUCCUCGAAAAGAUAGGUGUGAUCUUUGUGUGGGCUUUGAGGAGGGGAAUGUGUAAGAGGGGGCAUACAAAAAAGACAAUAGAUAAGGAAAAACGCACGGGCAGCCCCAAAAUCAAAUACAUGUACAUCAAAAUGGACCAGCAAUCAGUUCUGCUGUAUCCACGCACCAAUGCUUCUGCUUUGUACUACAAGAUGAAAUUGAAUGUACACAAUUUCACAGUACAGGAACUAGGGAGCAAGGACUGUGUAUGUUAUGUCUCAAAUGAACGCGAAGGUGCUCUGACUGCAAAUAAAUUUGCUCCUUGUGUGGCUGAUUUUUUGUCAUCUGAUUUGACUCUAGAUCAUUAUAUUCAGAUGGAUGUGGUUGUAUCAGAACUGCAAAGUCACAAUGAGUUCUGCACUGUUACAUUUCAGCUUUGUCAAUGGUAAACUGUAACAUUAAAAUUCCUGGAGAAGGGCUAUACACAGAUGGAGUUGGACAGUGCUCACAGCACAUCUACUACCCAGCUGAUUAUGUCAGGCUAAUGGAAGAAAGUAGGAAAGUGAAA